rnacentral:rRNA from 1 species
AGAGUUUGAUCCUGGCUCAGGAUGAACGCUAGCGGGAGGCUUAAUACAUGCAAGUCGAGCGGCAAGGUCUUCGGACCCUAGAGCGGCGCACGGGUGAGUAACGCGUACGCAAUCUGCCCUUCAGUGAGGAAUAGCCCUGGGAAACUGGGAUUAAUACCUCAUAAUAUUAUUUGUUCGCAUGGACGAAUAAUUAAAGUUCUGGCGCUGAAGGAUGGGCGUGCGUCUGAUUAGCUUGUUGGUAGGGUAACGGCCUACCAAGGCUACGAUCAGUAGGGGGCGUGAGAGCGUGGCCCCCCACACGGGUACUGAGACACGGACCCGACUCCUACGGGAGGCAGCAGUAAGGAAUAUUGGGCAAUGGAGGCAACUCUGACCCAGCCAUCCCGCGUGAAGGAUUAAGGCCCUAUGGGUUGUAAACUUCUUUUGUUUGGGAAGAAAUCUGGACAUUUAUGUGCAGUUGACGGUACCUUACGAAUAAGCACCGGCUAACUCCGUGCCAGCAGCCGCGGUAAUACGGAGGGUGCAAGCGUUAUCCGGAAUCACUGGGUUUAAAGGGUGCGUAGGCGGUUUGAUAAGUCAG